GAAAUGCGAUAAUUAAUGUGAAUUGCAGAAUUCAGUGAAUCAUCGAGUCUUUGAACGCACAUUGCGCCCCCUGGUAUUCCGGGGGGCAUGCCUGUCCGAGCGUCAUUGCUGCCCUCAAGCACGGCUUGUGUGUUGGGCUUCCGUCCCUGGCAACGGGGACGGGCCCAAAAGGCAGUGGCGGCACCAUGUCUGGUCCUCGAGCGUAUGGGGCUUUGUCACCCGCUCCCGUAGGUCCAGCUGGCAGCUAGCCUCGCAACCAAUCUUUUUAACCAGGUUGACCUCGGAUCAGGUAGGGAGACCCGCUGAACUUAAGC
rnacentral:misc_RNA from 1 species